AAUGCAAGAUAGGUAAGGUAGACCAAACAACAACUUUGCACCAGCAUGAACACACACCGGAAAUCUAUCAAAGACAAAAAUACCCAAUUACCUGUAGGGGCUCAUUUCUCACAAGAAAACCA